CAGCAGCAGCCGCGGUAAUACAGAGGGUGCGAGCGUUAAUCGGAUUUACUGGGCGUAAAGCGUGCGUAGGCGGCUUCUUAAGUCGGAUGUGAAAUCCCUGAGCUUAACUUAGGAAUUGCAUUCGAUACUGGGAAGCUAGAGUAUGGGAGAGGAUGAUAGAAUUCCAGGUGUAGCGGUGAAAUGCGUAGAGAUCUGGAGGAAUACCGAUGGCGAAGGCAGCCAUCUGGCCUAAUACUGACGCUGAGGUACGAAAGCAUGGGGAGCAAACAGGAUUAGAUACCCCGGUAGUCCCUGUCUCUUAUAA
rnacentral:rRNA from 1 species